UACAAACAUGGCCCUUUAAUAUUGUAACAUGUACAGUGGGUAACAGUUUGACUGUGAUGUAUGGUGGUAUACAGUAUUUCAAACACAGAAGCAUAAAAAAGUAAAUAAGUUCACAUCUAGCACUGACUUCUUAUAGAGGAAUGCCGUUUUAGCCCAAACCUACAUGCGGAGGCCUCCGUGUGUGAUACCAAAACAAUAAAUAUGAUUAUCUGAGAGAGAGGGGAAGCCUUGGCAAACUGAAUUUAGGGGACACAGUAAGAGAUAUUUUUACAGUUUUGAAUGCCUUUUCAAUGACUUUCACUUGUGGAUGGGCAUGGAACAGUUACAUAGUGAUCGUUAUAGUAGUAUACAUGAUUAAAGUCAGCAGAGAACAACAGUAUAGAGCUCAAAGGCUGAGAGGAGAAAUGCCCCAGAUGUAUCAGUCAGUCAUAAGAGAGCAUCAGGAAGAACAUGAGGAAGAAGUUUAGUAGGCUUACAUAUAUUUACAUUUUAUGUUUACAUAGUGAUAUUCUAAAAUCAUGUUACAAGUGUGUGUUUUUUUUAAUUAAAAAAAAGUAUUGGUUGCACUUUUCCACGUUAACCCUCAUUAGUCCAAAAAAAAACAGCUAAGCUACAUUCUUAUUUACAGAAACAGCCAGUGAGGCAUCAAACACCAGCAGCAGGAGAUCAGAUAUACACAUGCAAGCACCUAAGUCUGACGCUAGUAAUUGGCUGGUAACAGUAAUACGAGUCUGAACACAGGGAGAGGCUUUCUAUAAGCAUGGCUGCAGCUUGAGGAAAAAGAUGGAAUGCUGAGAUGUGGUCCACAACAGAAGAGAUACCAUACAUAGGCUGGAAAGACGAAAUAAGCUGUUUGUAGAGGGCGGAGGCUGAUGCUUACUUAUGGAGCUCAGGUCUAUUCAGAUCCCUGUGGUUCAGCAAAUGUAAUGUUUGUACAGACAGCAUCAAACUUAGUUAUUCCUGUCAGAGAACACUUAAGCUUGACUGAGAAUAUUAUGAUUGUGAAACAGCUGAGAGAGCAGCUGAGUGACAGGAGGAGAUAAGAUAAGAGGAGAGGCAGGAGCGAGGAUGGUACCGUGGUUCAUGCCUCACAGAGACAAACAAAAGUGUUUAUGCAUUAGAAACAAGUUAGCCUUUAAUCUUUUGCCUAAUUUGCUGUGUCGACACUUUUAAUGAGAUUUUUAUCUGUAAUAUGAAUUUAUUUUUCCCAUUAUUGCUUUUCAGUGUGUUUUUGUUUCACCAAUAGUAAUUGCUGUGAGAUAAUGGUGAUUUCUGUGACAUCAAAAUUACACUCUAAAAUGUAAUCUGCUUUAUUAGACGCACUGCAAUUUUCAGAGAGAGGUGUUUUUAGAUACUGUUUGGAAAUUAAGUUUCAAAACAAUCAAUUAGGUUAAAAGCCAGAAACCUGAAAUACAAAGUGAGUUCAAUAUACCCUGUGUAGCUUUUGGUAAUCUGGCCUCAUUUAAACAAACAAAGAUCAGGUUGAUUACUCUCAAUGCCGGUUAUUACCAUGAUAUACAGACCGUGAGACACUGAAAGGGGCGGAGUUAGCAACUGAGGACCAAUGGCAAACGUGAACAAGUGAGCUGAUCAUCAUGUUUUACAAUCAGUAUGACAUAAGUAUGUCAUCAGAGGGUACUGGGAAUGUGUUUUUAAGAGGAUGAUCUCUGAGCUUGAACAUAACCUACACCAGAGCAGGUUAUGCAUUUGGUGUUCAUGAUGAGCUACCCCAGUAAGAAGUAGACUGAAGUCUCAAAGGACAAAAAAACGGCAGAAAAAAUAGACUAGAGUUGAGGUGAGGCCGAACGGAAACGUUUAUCCUGUAACAGUCAUCUCUAAACUAUUCCACAAAGGGCUGCAGGUUUUUCUUCCAACCAAGCGGCAGCACACCAGACUUGAUUCAUUUCAUCAGCUGAACUCAGACUGCAGACAGCUGGUUGGUCAGACUGCGUGCUCUUGAUUGGUUGGAAGAAAAACCUGCAGCCACAGGGCCCUUUGUGGAAUAGUUUGGAGAUGAGUGUCCAAAAUGAAGCAUGAACCAGGCCUGAGGAUCAGCAAUUCAGUCUUUUGGCAAAAGCCAAAGAAAAUAAAAACUCAAACAGUAAAUUAGUUCUCUGACUCUUAAAGUGUGUGUGAAGUGUGAUACAAGCAGAAUCAUGAUGAGACUAAAAUGCGGGUGAGAACUGAACAGCAGCAGCAGUAGAGACUCCGUUGACAGUGAAGUCAGUGUUCAAGGCACCUCUAAAGUAUAAACUAGGGAAACAACUUCGCUCUUUAUUUCUUAAAUUCUGACCGGGGCAGACAUCAGAUCUGCACUUUCCUUCUUUUGCUAAGAACAGUGUGUGAGCUACUGCUGCUGCUGGAGAAAUGUCCAGACAAAAACACUGAAGAAUGUACAAUGAAUACUUUUAAAGUAAUGUUUAUAUCAAUGUUUGAA
rnacentral:lncRNA from 1 species